AUGCUUUCCUUCUUCUUCUUCUUCUUCUUCUUCUUCUUUCUGGUGCUCACUUUUGUUCAUAGUGAGCUGCUGGAUGGCACAGCUUGAGCGCUAUAUUGCCAGUCAAGUUUUGUUUAUAGUCUCGUCGACUUUACUGUCACGGUUUGUCAGGGUAGGUAAAUGUUGGCAAUGUCAGAUGUCAGAUUUGUUUGUUUAUCUCGUGAAGGAAGGCAACUACAUUUCGAAGGAGUGUUGUUUCAUUGGUGGCAAACACUUGAUAAAUAUUAUCGAAUUUGUCUAGUUGGUAUUUGGUUCUCGUUUGUGCAUAGUGGACACACGAAAACACUAGCCAGUAGGCAGAAUAAUCGUGUCCAGCAAGCAGGCGAUUCAGAGUGCGCGUUUCGGAGUUUGUGAGCUGUGUUCCGGAAUACCAGGGUUUUAGCGGGAUCGUGUUCUGAUGUUGGAAAAAUUUGCGGCCUUUUCCUUCCACGGCGGCGUAUUCAAGAUGUAUUGCUCGUCUAGACCGGAUUUUGCCAGCUGAUCAGCGGUUUCGUUUCCCACGACUCCGGUGUGUCCAGGAAUCCACUGCAAGAUAGUGUGUGAAUCUGCGGCCAUAUUAAGCAACCUUUCAAUAAUGUCAUCACGGUAUCGCUGAUUGAUGUUCGACUUGAUAAAUUCCAGUCCAGAUUUGGAGUCUGUCAUAAUGACUGCAUUGUGAAUAUCGUUGCGCAAUACGUACUGGAGAGCUACAUAAAUUGCCCACAGUUCUGCAGACAUGAUGCACAUGUAAUUGUCUAACUUCAGACUCAAACGGAAGUUCGUUGCUGCAUCGAAUACCCCGAUACCGCAGGAUUCCAAAUUCCUGGAAGCAUCAGUGUAUAUGAUUCUCUUUCCAGCAUAUUUUCCAUGUAAUAAUGAAAGUGUUAGCUGUUUCAAAACUUUGUCGUUGAUCGU